AGCGAACGCUGGCGGCAGGCCUAACACAUGCAAGUCGAACGAAGCCUUCGGGCUUAGUGGCGGACGGGUGAGUAACACGUGGGAACGUACCUUUUGGUUCGGGACAACUCAGGGAAACUUGAGCUAAUACCGGAUGAGCCCUUAGGGGGAAAGAUUUAUCGCCGAAAGAGCGGCCCGCGUUAGAUUAGCUAGUUGGUGAGGUAAAGGCUCACCAAGGCAACGAUCUAUAGCUGGUCUGAGAGGAUGAUCAGCCACACUGGGACUGAGACACGGCCCAGACUCCUACGGGAGGCAGCAGUGGGGAAUCUUGCGCAAUGGGCGAAAGCUUGACGCAGCCAUGCCGCGUGAAUGAUGAAGGUCUUAGGAUUGUAAAAUUCUUUUACCAGGGACGAUAAUGACGGUACCUGGAGAAAAAGCCCCGGCUAACUUCGUGCCAGCCGCCGCCGUAAUAC
rnacentral:rRNA from 1 species